UACGAAGGGGGCUAGCGUUGUUCGGAUUUACUGGGCGUAAAGCGCACGUAGGCGGAUCGUUAAGUCGGGGGUGAAAUCCUGGAGCUCAACUCCAGAACUGCCUUCGAUACUGGCGAUCUUGAGUCCGGAAGAGGUGAGUGGAAUUCCUAGUGUAGAGGUGGAAUUCGUAGAUAUUAGGAAGAACACCGGUGGCGAAGGCGGCGACCUGGUCCGACACUGACGCUGAGGCGCGAAAGCGUGGGGAGCAAACAGG
rnacentral:rRNA from 1 species